rnacentral:rRNA from 1 species
AUUGAACGCUGGCGGCAGGCCUAACACAUGCAAGUCGAACGAGUGGCGGACGGGUGUGCAAUGUCUGGGUAACUGCCUGAUGGAGGGGGAUAACUACUGGAAACUGUAGCUAAUACCGCAUACCAUCAGAUGUGCCCAGAGGGGUUUAGCUAGUUGGGGGGGUAAGGGCUCACCACGGCGACGAUCCCUAGCUGGUUUGAGAGGAUGACCAGCAACACUGGAACUGAGACACGGUCCAGACUCCGACGGGAGGCAGCAGUGGGGAAUAUUGCACAAUGGGCGCAAGCCUGAUGCAGCCAUGCCGCGUGUAUGAAGAAGGCCUUCGGGUUGUAAAGUACUUUCAGCGGGGAGGCGUUACCCGCAGAAGAAGCACCGGCUAACUCCGUGCCAGCAGCCGCGGUAAUUC